UCUGGCUUGUCAUAUGUUCUUAAUAAAUGUUGUUGAAAGAUGGGAUGCGCUGUCUUUGGAAAUCAUGUUAUUUUUGUUGUCAUGGAGUGCUUGCCCUUCACUUGUUGGAGAGGGCAUAGAGCAGCGAGCUCUGAAAGGAAGAUGAAGACCGAAACAAAUCCUGGCCCCAAAGCAUAGACUGACAUUCUGUGAUGUUUAUAAAACAGAUAAGUGAACAAAGGGGCCAAACGAGAGAAAAGCUUGUGGAGAAUUGGGGAAUACUCAGACAAAUUGAAGGAGAAAAUUGAGGCAAUUAUCUGAAAAAUACAUGUGAAAACCUGUUAUCACUCAGAAUGAAAGGUUUACCAUGGGAAAUUUGGAGAAUAUUGCAAAAACAAAGGAAAAUACAAACACCUCUGAAUUCACAAUUUACAUCAUAGAAACUAGGACUCCUCAGGACGAAGGUCUAAAUGAGCUUCACAUACCAGAGAACAAAAGAAGCUUUCAAAGCUACUAGGAUCAUGUCUAAAGUACACAAGAGCCAACUGGAAGAGAAUCCUACUGGCCACAGAAGAUAUUUUGGUGCAUCAACAAGCAUAAAAACUGUGUGAGAGAGAAAUACAUCAAAACAGAAUUAAGAUACAGCUCCCUGUAGUUUCCAAAAUAUAUUACCCCACACCCAUCUACUUUGCAUUUUCUAAAACUAACUGCUCUUCUCUGAAGUCAUUACCUUAACCACUCUAUAUGUUCUUCAUGUUCUGUACAUGUUCACUAUAAUUUGUAGGGUCUGAAAAAUAAGUAAAGGCAGCACAUGUGUUUAAUCUCCCACAUUCAUAAGCCUCAGAAUUACUCUUAAAUAUUUUUAAAGAAAACAUGCAUGAAGACACACAAAUCUGCUUUGCUAGACCAAAAUAAUGUCAAAAUUAAGUGUGGAUUUCUUUGCAAAAAGGCUAUCUUUCUGUUGAGUACCAGCUUCAUUUUUUUCUCAUGUACUUAUUCUAAAUUUCUAAUGUGAAUAGAAAGAAUUUGACUACGUUCUAGGAAAUAGUUUUCUGACUGAUUUUUAUCUUUAAGGAGAGUUAUGUCAUUUUAAGUGUUUUCUUACUGUGGAAGUUGAGCAGUAGUUUCCAUUAAAACUUCUCAUGUACUAUGCUGUGCAGAGAAAAUUAGACUGCACGUCCAUCUUGUUCUUCAAAAAGCUUUAAUUGUAUAGCACCCGAAGUCUUACUAAUCCACAUUAGUAAUACACAUUAUAACCUCAGUAGAAGAUAUUCACCAUG